rnacentral:rRNA from 1 species
AUUGAACGCUGGCGGCAGGCCUAACACAUGCAAGUCGAGCGAGCGGCGGACGGGUGAGUACUGUAUGGGGACUGCCCGAUAGAGGGGGAUAACUACUGGAAACGGUAGCCAAUACCGCAUACUAUCGGAUAACCCAUAUGGGAUUAGCUAGUAGGUGGGGUAAUGACUCACCCAGGCGACGAUCCCUAGCUGUUCUGAGAGGAUGUUCAGCCACACUGUGACUGAGACACGGCCCGGACUCCUACGGAGGCAGCAGUGGUGAAUAGUGCACAAUGGGCGCAAGCCUGAUGCAGCCAUGCCGAAUGUAUGAAGAAGGCCCUAGGGUUGUAAAGUACUUUCAGUCGGGAGGCGUUACCGACAGAAGAAGCACCGGCUAACUCCGUGCCAGCAGCCGCGGUAAUUC